UACGGAGGGUGCAAGCGUUAUUCGGAAUUAUUGGGCAUAAAGCGCAUGUAGGUGGCUUGGUUAGUUUGAUGUGAAAGCCCCGGACUCAAUUCGGGAAGUGCAUUGAAUACUGCCAGGCUGGAGUAUGGGAGAGGUGAGCGGAAUUCCAGGUGUAGAGGUGAAAUUCGUAGAUAUCUGGAGGAACAACAGAGGCGAAGGCGGCUCACUGGACCAUUACUGACACUGAGAUGCGAAAGCGUGGGGAGCAAACAGG
rnacentral:rRNA from 1 species